GAAUAAAAGGUAGAAGGACUAAAUGGAGAAGCUAUAGAUAUCUAAUCCAAUUUGGAUUAGAAAUCUAUAGCUUCUCCAUUUAGGCCUUCUACUUUUUAGU
rnacentral:miRNA from 1 species